GGCAGACGGGUGAGUAACAUGUGGGAAUCUGCCUUGUGGUUCAGGACAACAUUGGGAAACCGAUGCUAAUACUGGAUAAGCCCUUACGGGGAAAGUUUUAAUGCCAUAAGAUGAGCCCGCAUUUGAUUAGUUAGUUGGUGAGGUAAUGGCUCACCAAGACAAUGAUCAAUAGCUGAUCUGAGAGGAUGAUCAGCCACACUGGGACUGAGACACGGCCCAGACUCCUACGGGAGGCAGCAGUGGGGAAUCUUGCACAAUGGAGGAAACUCUGAUGCAGCGAUGCCGCGUGAGUGAAGAAGGCCUUUGGGUUGUAAAGCUCUUUUGUAGGGGAAGAUAAUGACUGUACCCUAAGAAUAAGGUCCGGCUAACUUCUUGCCAGCAGCCGCGGUAAUACGAAGGGACCUAGCGUAGUUCGGAAUUACUGGGCGUAAAGCGCGCGUAGGCCGUUGAGUUAGUUAAUUGUGAAAUCCCAAAGCUUAACUUUGGAACUGCAAUUAAAACUGCUCGACUAGAGUUUGAUAGAGGAAAGCGGAAUACAUAGUGUAGAGGUGAAAUUCGUAGAUAUUAUGUAGAACACCAGUUGCGAAGGCGGCUUUCUGGAUCAACACUGACGCUGAGGCGCGAAAGUAUGGGUAGCAAAGAGGAUUAGAUACCCUCGUAGUCCAUACCAUAAACGAUGAUUGCUAGAUGUUGGAAAUUUAUUUUCAGUAUCGCAGCUAACGCAUUAAGCAAUCCGCCUGGGGAGUACGACCGCAAGGUUAAAACUCAAAUGAAUUGACGGGGACCCGCACAAGCGGUGGAGCAUGUGGUUUAAUUCGAAGAUACGCGCAGAACCUUACCAACCCUUGACAUGUCUGUCGCGAGUUUAGGAAACUAGACUUUUCGGUUCGGCCGGACAGAACACAGGUGCUGCAUGGCUGUCGUCAGCUCGUGUCGUGAGAUGUUGGGUUA
rnacentral:rRNA from 1 species